ACUCAAAUGAAUAGACGGGGGCCCGCACAAGCGGUGGAGUAUGUGGUUUAAUUCGAAGCAACGCGCAGAACCUUACCUACCCUUAACAUCCCAGGACAGCCUCAGAGAUGAGGGGUUCCUUUCGGGGACCUGGAGAUAGGUGCUGCAUGGCUGUCGUCAGCUCGUGUCGUAAGAUGUCUGGUUAAGUCCAACAACGAGCGCAACCCCUGUCCUUAGUUACCAGCAUUAAGUUGGGGACUCUAGGGAGACUGCCGGUGUUAAACCGGAGGAAGGCGGGGAUGACGUCAAGUCCUCAUGGCCCUUACGGGUAGGGCUACACACGUACUACAAUGGCAGAGACAAACCGUUGCGCAGCCGCGAGGUGAAGCUAAUCGGUAAAACACUGUCUCAGUUCGGAUUGCAGUCUGCAACUCGACUGCAUGAAGCUGGAAUCGCUAGUAAUCGCUGAUCAGCAAGCAGCGGUGAAUACGUUCCCGGGCCUUGUACACACCGCCCGU
rnacentral:rRNA from 1 species